ACACUCACCUGGCAGAGGGGAUACUCUAAUCACAAAGGUUUUCCCAGGGUGAGGUAUAUACAUUGCACUCUAGGUGUGCUGACCCCUGUGAUUUCCCCAAAUGUGGGAAACUCAGUUGCAUAAUUUGAUGUAGUGGGGGACUGUGUUCAUGCUCUCCCCAC